UACGUAGGUGGCAAGCGAUACUCGGAAUCACUAGGCGUAAAGCGCAGGUAGGCGGUUUGGUAAGUCUUUUGUGAAAGCUCCCGGCUUAACUGGGAGAGGUCAAGGGAAACUACCGGACUAGAGUGUGGUAGGGGAUACUGGAAUUCCUGGUGUAGCGGUGAAAUGCGUAGAUAUCAGGAGGAAUACCUAUGGCGAAAGCAGGUAUCUGGGCCAUCACUGACGCUGAGCUGCGAAAGCUAGGGUAGCAAACAGG
rnacentral:rRNA from 1 species